rnacentral:misc_RNA from 1 species
GUUAUCGGGGGAGGACAACGGAACAGCCACGUCUCAUUUCAUAUAAGAGGGACUAACUCGGUGUUUUGUCAGUACAGUGUAACGAGAGGUUGAGGGAGUCGGAUACGUACAAACUACCAGUAAAAUAACCCUCUCAUUCAUUACUUGCUUAUAACGUCCUUCUUCGCCGGAUAUAUGCACAAUCUUGUGGAUAGUACUAGAAAUAGUAGUUUGUGUUCGACAAAAGAUUCUCAUCACCACCAUCAUGUUCGCCUGCAAAGAGAUCCGAUGUGUGAUGCUAUUUUAUAUAUUUAUUCACCUUUUACACAAGUCCCAUUCAUGCAUAUUGUUGCUGAAUGGAUGGACACCGCUCACUGUUUACGAACGAGCAACUUAUGCGGAGAUAGUGGUUUCUGCCAAUGUGGUACGAGCGUUUAAAGACGUGAGAUCCGAUUCUGAAACUUACACAGCUGAGGUACAGGUGCUGGAAGUGUACAAAGGUGCCGAGUUUGUGGAUGAUGUUUCAUCCGUAGAGAGGAGCAGGAAGAUCUACAACAUCAGCAACUUCGGAGACAGGUCAAUGUGUUACGCUGACGUCGUUCCUGGAGACACCCACAUCAUGUUCCUCACCAUGUACAACGGCCGCCUGUCAGCCAAAUACGACGACAUCUUUGGAGCUGUAGCAGAGUUUACUUCUGCAAAUGAACAACAAAUCUUGGAUUAUUUAGGUUGGCACACGUGGUCCAAAUGGAACGGUUGCAGCGCCCCCUGUGAUGGUGGUGUUCAGAUGCGACAUCGUACAUGCUCGAGAGAAAACAUAACAGACUGCACGGGUGCAUCUACUGAGACGCGGAAGUGCAAUACAUACUCGUGUAAUGAAAUUACAGACCUUGUGACCAAACUAGGAAUGCCGAAAAUGCCUUUCGGCGUCUAUAAGAACCCCAACAGGACACACGCAUAUCAAGUCACCCCUCACGCCAAGCUUUUCCUCCCUGUUGCAUCUUUAUACGAAGUCUCGUUUCCACGAGAUUUCAGUGUGGCCUUGACCUUUAAACUAAAUCCUGGCUACGAAGGUUACCUUCUUACAGUUAACGAUAUCAGAGGAAGACAGAGGAUUGGACUCCAUUUUGGCACAAAUGCUAAAUUUGAGUAUUUGGAAUAUCAUGAUGGAAGGGUUGUCUCCCUUGAUUUUGAUGUCGCUGUGACUGAUGGGCAAUGGCACCAGCUGGCGUUCAGCGUCAAAGACGACAUUGUGACCUUGUUUUACGACUGCGACACCGUCAUGAGCAAGACCCUUAUCCGAAGGAAGAGUUCAACUCUUGGGAAAAACCUUAUGAUCGCCAUUGGACCUUAUUUCGCCAGGAAUGGCCAACCUUUCAGGGGUAGCAUUGAACAAAUUGUUCUGGCUGAAGACCCCAGUUUCGCCGAGCUCCAGUGCCACGUACAGAGUGACGUCACGGAUAUGCCUGUCAAGGAUGACAACAAACCCGUCACCAGUAAGCCCACACAGACUGACCUCAACAAUGUAACAACGAAACCCACUGUGUAUGGCUCUGAUUGGUCCUCGUGGUCCUACUGCAGCGCCUCGUGCGGUCAAGGGCGACAAUCCAGGACUCUUUUCUGCCGGAACAACAUUGUGGCUGUGGACCGAUGUGUGGCCAAAGACUCUCCUCACACGCAGACACGGCUGUGUUACCUGCAGGAGUGUCAAGUGAAGUGUCAGACUCCUUGUUUAAAUGGCGGAGAGUGUAACGCCAACGGAACAUGUGACUGUCCGAUGGGAUAUGAUGGCAAGAGAUGCGAAACUCCAUCGUGCCCGUUAGGCUGUGAAAACAACGGAAUCUGCGUCGGCCCAAACAUGUGCGCAUGCCCAGCUGGUUACACUGGUGCUAACUGUGAAAUGCCCAAGUGCGAACAGGGAUGCUCCAAUGGCGGACGUUGCGUUGCCCCGGGGAAGUGCGCAUGCCCAUACGGCUACCUGCAGCCGACGUGCAAACCCUACUGUCCUAUGCAGUGCCACAAUGGAGGGAAAUGCGUGCGGCAUAAUGUCUGCCGUUGUAAGAAAGGCUACACGGGGAAAGACUGUUCAGUUGCUACCUGCAAGCGUGGAUGUUUUAAUGGCGGAAAGUGUGUUGCUGCCAACCGCUGUUCCUGCCCGAGUGGAUACAGAGGGCGCUACUGUCAGAAAGCCAAAUGCCGACCAAGGUGUCAAAACAGCGGCAAAUGCAUCGCCCCCAAUGUGUGCGGAUGUAGAGGAGGUUACUAUGGCAACCGGUGUCAACUAUUUCAAUGCUUCAAGAAAUGCAAAAAUGGCGGAACUUGUACUGGUCCUAAUCGUUGUGCAUGCCCAGCGGGGUUCUCAGGUCGAAGGUGUCAGAGAGCACGUUGUCGCAGUGCCUGUCUUAAUGGAGGACGGUGCAGGAAGAACAACAAGUGUAAAUGCCCACCCGGUUUCAAAGGCCGCCGCUGUGAAACUAGAACGACACCACUUUUCUAUUUGUAGAAUAUGCAAAUACGAGAAGCACUCCGUGCCACACACACGGAGCUACCGUCGUGUUGUGCGGGAAGAGUAUGUCGCCAAGUGUGGCCCCUGGCACUGGAAAACGUGUGUCAAAACUAGGUUAAAAUACGCCUUAGUUGUGAAGGACACG